rnacentral:misc_RNA from 1 species
GAAAAAGAGUUUAACAACUCCUAUUCUUUUUAAAAGGUCGUCUUCUUCAAAACCCCAUAUUCUUUUUUCUCCUACUCUACACAUCGAAAUGGAAUCUUUAUAACCUAAACGUCCGCAUCUUAUUAGCCAUUCCACCGGGCUAGAAAAGGUUGCUUUUGAAAAAGGCACCUAAUAAGGAAUCC